UACAGAGGUCUCAAGCGUUGCUCGGAUUCAUUGGGCGUAAAGGGUGCGUAGGUGGCGGGGUAAGUCAGGUGUGAAAUCUCGGAGCUCAACUCCAAAACUGCACUUGAUACUGCCUUGCUCGAGUACUGGAGAGGAGAUUGGAAUUUACGGUGUAGCAGUGAAAUGCGUAGAUAUCAAGUGGAACACCAGUGGCGAAGGCGAGUCUCUGGGCAACAACUGACGCUGAGGAGCGAAAGCGUGGGGAGCGAACAGG
rnacentral:rRNA from 1 species